UGAGGGAAAGGCGAAAAGAACCCCGGCGAGGGGAGUGAAAAAGAACCUGAAACCGUGUACGUACAAGCAGUGGGAGCACAGGUUUACCUGUGUGACUGCGUACCUUUUGUAUAAUGGGUCAGCGACUUAUAUUCUGUAGCAAGGUUAACCGUAUAGGGGAGCCGUAGGGAAACCGAGUCUUAACCGGGCGUUAAGUUGCAGGGUAUAGACCCGAAACCCGGUGAUCUAGCCAUGGGCAGGUUGAAGGUUGGGUAACACUAAC
rnacentral:rRNA from 1 species